rnacentral:tRNA from 1 species
CUCUUUUUAGUAUAAUUAGUACAAUUGACUUCCAAUCAAUUAGCUUUGACAAUAUUCAAAAAAAGAGU